UGGGGAAUAUUGGGCAAUGGAGGCAACUCUGACCCAGCAACGCCGCGUGAAGGAUGAAGGUCUUCGGAUUGUAAACUUCUGUCGUAUGGGACGAAGAAUGACGGUACCAUACAAGAAAGCCCCGGCUAACUACGUGCCAGCAGCCGCGGUAAUACGUAGGGGGCAAGCGUUGUCCGGAAUGACUGGGCGUAAAGGGAGCGUAGGUGGUUUAGCAAGUUAUGUGUGAAAGCCCACGGCUUAACCGUGGAACUGCACAUAAAACUGUUGAACUGGAGUACGGGAGAGGUAAAUGGAAUUCCUAGUGUAGCGGUGGAAUGCGUAGAUAUUAGGAGGAACACCAGAGGCGAAGGCGAUUUACUGGACCGCAACUGACACUGAGGCUCGAAAGCGUGGGGAGCAAACAGG
rnacentral:rRNA from 2 species